rnacentral:rRNA from 1 species
UCAGGAUGAACGCUGGCGGCGUGCUUAACACAUGCAAGUCGAACGAUGACCUCCAGCUUGCUGGGGUGAUUAGUGGCGAACGGGUGAGUAACACGUGAGUAACCUGCCCUUAACUCUGGGAUAAGCCUGGGAAACUGGGUCUAAUACCGGAUAUGACUCCUCAUCGCAUGGUGGGGGGUGGAAAGCUUUUUGUGGUUUUGGAUGGACUCGCGGCCUAUCAGCUUGUUGGUGAGGUAAUGGCUCACCAAGGCGACGACGGGUAGCCGGCCUGAGAGGGUGACCGGCCACACUGGGACUGAGACACGGCCCAGACUCNUACGGGAGGCAGCAGUGGGGAAUAUUGCACAAUGGGCGAAAGCCUGAUGCAGCGACGCCGCGUGAGGGAUGACGGCCUUCGGGUUGUAAACCUCUUUCAGUAGGGAAGAAGCGAAAG